AACCUACAUGUGUAGGAUAGGUGGGAGGCUAUGAAGACGUGACGCCAGUUGCGUUGGAGCCGUCCUUGAAAUACCACCCUUGUAUGUUUGAUGUUCUAACUUAGACCCGUUAUCCGGGUUGAGGACAGUGCCUGGUGGGUAGUUUGACUGGGGCGGUCUCCUCCCAAAGAGUAACGGAGGAGCACGAAGGUGGGCUAAUCACGGUUGGACAUCGUGAGGUUAG
rnacentral:rRNA from 1 species